rnacentral:rRNA from 1 species
UGAAUACGAGAUGCUACGGCGUCGAAGCAGUCUAUGUCAUACUUCCAAGAAAAGCUCGCACUGUCAUAAACAAAUAAUGCCUGUACCAUAACCGACACAGGUGGGUAGGUAGAGUAUACUAAGGGGCGCGAGAUAACUCUCUCUAAGGAACUCGGCAAAAUGACUCCGUAACUUCGGGAGAAGGAGUGCCUUAUUUAUAAGGUUGCAAUAACAAGAUCCAAGCAACUGUUUAUCAAAAACACAGGUCUCCGCUAAGUCGUAAGACGAUGUAUGGGGGCUGACGCCUGCCCAGUGCCAGAAGGUUAAAGAAGUUGGUUAGCAUUCGCGAAGCUGAUAACUGAAGCCCUGGUGAACGGCGGCCGUAACAAUAACGGUCCUAAGGUAGCGAAAUUCCUUGUCGGGUAAGUUCCGACCCGCACGAAAGGCGUAAUGAUUUGGAUACUGUCUCGGAGAGGGGCUCGGUGAAAUAGACUUGUCUGUGAAGAUGCGGACUACCUGCACCAGGACAGAAAGACCCUAUGAAGCUUUACUGUAACUUGAGAUUGAAAUUGGACUUUACUUGCGCAGUAUAGGUGGGAGGCGUUGAUAAUAUUCUUGCGGGAUUAUUUGAGCCAUCAGUGAGAUACCACUCUUGUAAUGUUAGAUUUCUAACUUUGUAUCAUUAUCUGGUCAAAGGACAGUUUCAGGCGGGCAGUUUGACUGGGGCGGUCGCCUCCUAAACGGUAACGGAGGCGCACAAAGGUUUCCUCUGAACGGGUAGAAAUCGUAUCUAGAGUGUAAAGGCAUAAGGAAGCUUGACUGUGAGACCUACAAGUCGAGCAGGGACGAAAGUCGGUCUUAGUGAUCUGACGGUGCUGAGUGGAAAGGCCGUCACUCAACGGAUAAAAGUUACUCUAGGAUAACAGGCUGAUCUCCCCCAAGAGUUCACAUCGACGGGGAGGUUUUGCACCUCGAUGUCGGCUCAUCGCAUCCUGGGGCGGUAGUACGUCCCAAGGGUUGGGCUGUUCGCCCAUGAAAGCGGUACGCGAGCUGGGUUCAGAACGUCGUGAGACAGUUCGGUCCAUAUCCGGUGUAGGCGUUAGAAUAUUGAGAGGAGCCUUCUUUAGUACGAGAGGACCGAGAAGGACAUACCUCUGGUGUACCAGUUAUCGUGCCAACGGUAAACGCUGGGUAGCUAUGUAUGGAGUGGAUAACCGCUGAAAGCAUCUAAGUGGGAAGCCCACCUCAAGAUAAGUAUUCCC